AUCUUCCGCAUGGACGAAGUCUGACGGAGCAACGCCGCGUGAGUGAUGAAGGCUUUCGGGUCGUAAAACUCUGUUGUUAGGGAAGAACAAGUACGAGAGUAACUGCUCGUACCUUGACGGUACCUAACCAGAAAGCCACGGCUAACUACGUGCCAGCAGCCGCGGUAAUACGUAGGUGGCAAGCGUUAUCCGGAAUUAUUGGGCGUAAAGCGCGCGCAGGCGGUUUCUUAAGUCUGAUGUGAAAGCCCACGGCUCAACCGUGGAGGGUCAUUGGAAACUGGGGAACUUGAGUGCAGAAGAGAAAAGCGGAAUUCCACGUGUAGCGGUGAAAUGCGUAGAGAUGUGGAGGAACACCAGUGGCGAAGGCGGCUUUUUGGUCUGUAACUGACGCUGAGGCGCGAAAGCGUGGGGAGCAAACAGGAUUAGAUACCCUGGUAGUCC
rnacentral:rRNA from 2 species